rnacentral:rRNA from 1 species
UACGUAGGGGGCAAGCGUUGUCCGGAAUUAUUGGGCGUAAAGAGCGUGUAGGCGGUCCGGUAAGUCAGCUGUGAAAGUCAAGGGCUCAACCCUUGAAUGCCGGUUGAUACUGUCGGGCUAGAGUCCGGAUGAGGCGAGUGGAAUUCCCGGUGUAGCGGUGAAAUGCGCAGAUAUCGGGAGGAACACCAAUGGCGAAGGCAGCUCGCUGGGACGGUACUGACGCUGAGACGCGAAAGCGUGGGGAGCAAACAGG